GUAAUAAACGUUGUUUUCAUGAUAUUGUUUCAUAAAAUGACUCUGACAUGAGGUCAUGUUGCAUAGCUGACCAAACAUGCAUGUAUAUACAGUCUACACUGUAAACAAAAUAAUACAACAACACAACUGAAAAUCAUAAUUUAUAAGAAAUAACUACUAUACAACUAUGAUGUCUUUAGUGUCUCAUUCCAAUGAUUAUGUUUUCAUUGAUUCUGGUUGAUCAACUUUGUAUCCAUGUUUCUCUAGUUCAGCCCUAAUAAGAAAUAUAUAAUAAUUUAAUAACAUAAAAUAUGACUUGGAUUGUAAAUACAGCUGCAGUUUGAGACACAACCAGCUGAAAACACAAGCAGAACUUCGAGCUUUUGAGUGAAGACCCUUCGUCUGAAUGUACACUUUUCACUCGAAACAUCG